CAACAAUCAGCAUUCCCACUUCUCCAAAGCAUAUGGUACUAUGGAUGCCUGCCAGGGAGUUCUGUGAACGGAAGUGAGGCAUGAAUGAACAUCACCAGCCAACAUGUUAAACUGAUGUUGGAUCACUGAAUUAAUGAAUCUGGUCUCUGUUCUCUUUUGGUCUGACUUGGAUGUAAAUGUUUGGAUGAGAAUUCUGGGAUGUAUCAAUUCUAGACAGUUGUUUGUAUUGGGGAAGCUGAGAAAUAUAAAGACAGAAAAAUGAAAAAGAAAUAGAGAUGACCAGAAGUGGGCCAAGGGUUCAUUAUUUGUGUCCAAAGAAGACAAGGAAAGAUCAGGACGUGGACUGAAAAACCAGAGUAGGCUCAGAAGAUUCAAAAGCUCGAAUCAGGAGGUGGUGUUUUUCCUGGUAUUUUGGCAGAUGUAACAGCACCAGAACCAGAAUGCGGGCAAUGUGAAGGAGAUUGUAGCAGGAGCAAAGAAAGGAAGGGAGAAAAGAAGAUGGAAUCCUCUUCUUUUGGCCAAACUCUCAGCUAAACGGCUAUAGAUCCAAGGAGAUCAUUCUGCAAUGUUAGUCACCUUAGUGUUUUGCAGUCCAAGGUUAGCAUGCAUUUUCUGGAAUUCUAUAUAGACGGACACAUUGAUGCAUACUCUCCUCUUGCCGGGCUUCUUUCAUCCAGCUGUACCACAUUCCUUGGCAUUCUGCUAGAGAUAUUUCCCCUCCCAGGCUAGAAAUAACCUCAUGUGCCAA
rnacentral:lncRNA from 10 species